rnacentral:miRNA from 1 species
AUUGACCCUGGGCUUCCUAAAGGCAGCUGGGUGGACACAAGAUGUGGCUUAGGGCCCUCGUGUCCACCCAGCUGCCUUUAGGAAGCCCAGGGUCAAU